rnacentral:rRNA from 1 species
AAACUGCCCGAUGGAGGGGGAUAACACUUGGAAACAGGUGCUAAUACCGCAUAACAGUUUAUGCCGCAUGGCAUAAGAGUGAAAGGCGCUUUCGGGUGUCGCUGAUGGAUGGACCCGCGGUGCAUUAGCUAGUUGGUGAGGUAACGGCUCACCAAGGCCACGAUGCAUAGCCGACCUGAGAGGGUGAUCGGCCACACUGGGACUGAGACACGGCCCAG